rnacentral:rRNA from 1 species
AGAGUUUGAUCCUGGCUCAGAAUCAACGCUGGCGGCGUGCCUAACACAUGCAAGUCGGACGAGAAAGCGGGGGCAACCCUGUGAGUAAAGUGGCAGACGGGUGAGUAACACGUGAACAAUCUACCCUUGAGCGUGGAAUAACCCCGCGAAAGCGGGGCUAAUACCGCAUGACAUCCUCUUAUUGCAUGAUGAGGGGAUCAAAGGCGCAAGCUGCUCGAGGAGGAGUUCGCGGCUGAUUAGCUAGUUGGUGAGGUAACGGCCCACCAAGGCGACGAUCAGUAGCCGGCCUGAGAGGGCGAACGGCCACACUGGAACUGAGACACGGUCCAGACUCCUACGGGAGGCAGCAGUGGGGAAUUUUGCGCAAUGGGCGAAAGCCUGACGCAGCAACGCCGCGUGGAGGAUGAAGGUCUUCGGAUCGUAAACUCCUGUCAGUGGGGACGAAAGCCCGAGAGGGUUUGACUGUACCCGCUGAGGAAGCCACGGCUAACUCCGUGCCAGCAGCCGCGGUAAUACGGAGGUGGCAAGCGUUGUUCGGAAUUACUGGGCGUAAAGGGCGUGUAGGCGGGAAGAUGUGUCGGGAGUGAAAUCGUACGGCUUAACCGUAUCAAUGGCUUCCGAAACUGUUUUUCUUGAAUGCUGCAGAGGCGAAUGGAAUUCCAGGUGUAGCGGCGGAAUGCGUAGAUAUCUGGAAGAACACCAGUGGCGAAGGCGGUUCGCUGGGCAGUGAUUGACGCUGAGGCGCGAAAGUGUGGGGAGCAAACAGGAUUAGAUACCCUGGUAGUCCACACCAUAAACGAUGGUCACUAGUUGUCGGGGGAUUCGACCCCCUCGGCAACGACGCUAACGCAUUAAGUGACCCACCUGGGGAGUACGCUCGCAAGGGUGAAACUCAAAGGAAUUGACGGGGGCCCGCACAAGCGGUGGAGCAUGUGGUUUAAUUCGAUGCAACGCGAAGAACCUUACCUGGGCUCGAAGUGCUCUGUAAACUCAUGAAAGUGGGGUAUCCCUUCGGGGAGCGGAGCAUAGGUGCUGCAUGGCUGUCGUCAGCUCGUGUCGUGAGAUGUUAGGUUAAGUCCUGCAACGAGCGCAACCCUUGUCCUUAGUUGCCAUCAGGUUAUGCUGGGAACUCUAAGGAGACUGCCGACGUCAAGUCGGAGGAAGGUGGGGAUGACGUCAAGUCCUCAUGGCCCUUACGUCCAGGGCUACACACGUGCUACAAUGGCCGGUACAGAGCGUCGCAAGACCGCAAGGUGGAGCAAAUCGCAAAAAACCGGUCUCAGUUCAGAUUGUACUCUGCAACUCGAGUACAUGAAGUUGGAAUCGCUAGUAAACGCGGAUCAGCAGGUCGCGUUGAAUACGUUCCCGGGCCUUGUACACACCGCCCGUCACACCAUGGGAGUCGGAAGGACCCGAAGGGCCCACAAGGUCUCAAGGUCAGGCCGAUGACUGGGGUGAAGUCGUAACAAGGUAUCC